CAAUAGCGUAUAUUAAAGUUGUUGCAGUUAAAAAGCUCGUAGUUGGAUUUCUGGUGGGAGCGAUCGGUCUGGCGCUUAGCGCGAGUACUUGCAUCGUCUCCGGCCAUCCUUGGGGAGAGUCUGUCUGGCAUUAGGUUGUCGGGCAGAGGAUCCUCAUCGUUUACUGUGAAAAAAUUAGAGUGUUCAAAGCAGGCUUAUGCCGUUGAAUAUAUUAGCAUGGAAUAAUAAGAUAGGACUUUGGUACUAUUUUGUUGGUUUGCGCACCAAAGUAAUGAUUAAUAGGGACAGUUGGGGGUAUUCGUAUUCCGUUGUCAGAGGUGAAAUUCUUGGAUUUACGGAAGACGAACUAAUGCGAAAGCAUUUACCAAGGAUGUUUUCAUUAA
rnacentral:rRNA from 1 species